rnacentral:rRNA from 1 species
AGUGAACGCUGGCGGUAGGCCUAACACAUGCAAGUCGAACGGUAGCACAGUAAGAGCUUGCUCUUACGGGUGGCGAGUGGCGGACGGGUGAGGAAUACAUCGGAAUCUACUUUUUCGUGGGGGAUAACGUAGGGAAACUUACGCUAAUACCGCAUACGACCUACGGGUGAAAGCAGGGGAUCUUCGGACCUUGCGCGAUUGAAUGAGUCGAUGUCGGAUUAGCUAGUUGGCGGGGUAAAGGCCCACCAAGGCGACGAUCCGUAGCUGGUCUGAGAGGAUGAUCAGCCACACUGGAACUGAGACACGGUCCAGACUCCUACGGGAGGCAGCAGUGGGGAAUAUUGGACAAUGGGCGCAAGCCUGAUCCAGCCAUACCGCGUGGGCGAAGAAGGCCUUCGGGUUGUAAAGCCCUUUUGUUGGGAAAGAAAAGCAGCAGGUUAAUACCCCGCUGUUCUGACGGUACCCAAAGAAUAAGCACCGGCUAACUUCGUG